rnacentral:rRNA from 1 species
GCUCAGAAACUUAAAGGAAGUUGACGGGGCCCGGCACAAGCGGUGGAGCAUGUGGUUUAAUUCGAUGAUACGCGAGGAACCUUACCUGGGCUCAAAUGUAUGUUGACGUAUUCUGAAAGGGAUACUUCUUCGGACAAUAUACAAGGUGCUGCAUGGUUGUCGUCAGCUCGUGCCGUGAGGUGUCGGGUUAAGUCCCAUAACGAGCGCAACCCCUAUCAUUAGUUGCCAUCAGGUCAAGCUGGGGACUCUAAUGAAACUGCCUACGCAAGUAGUGAGGAAGUGGGGAUGACGUCAAAUCAGCACGGCCCUUACGUCCAGGGCUACACACGUGCUACAAUGGCCGGUACAAAGGGCAGCUACCUGGUGACAGGAUGCUAAUCUCAAAAGCCGGUCUCAGUUCGGAUCGGAGUCUGCAACCCGACUCCGUGAAGCUGGAAUUGCUAGUAAUCGCGCAUCAGCCAUGGCGCGGUGAAUACGUUCCCGGGCCUU